UUUUCUAGAGUGUAAACAAAGCUUGAUAGACAAACGUAUCGGGACCACUUGCCAAUACACCCAAAGGAAGCGAUUUGCAGCUCUCCAUUCUCUUUGGGGAAAACUUUCAAAAUAAUUUUGGAGUUUGUCUGUGGAAACAUUACAGACGGUGCAUACUACCCCUGAAAGGCUACAAAAAUGUUCAAACUAGUAGUCGAAAUACAUCUCUCACCAUGACAUGUGACAUCAGGGCAAGAUCCGACAAGAGGAAACACCUGGCCGCAACACAAAGCAAGCAGUGGGAGAUUGAGAGGGGCCCAUUUCGUUGCUCUUCUCCGCAUGCAGAGUGGAUCUGUACUGAUGUAUGCCAAAACCAACUUUUUUUAAGCAUAGGAUUCAAGCAAAUUGAUGCCAUGGCGACCAGACGAGGUAAACGACAUCACAAGGCCGAGGUCACCUGUCUGUCACGGCCGUCUGGCUCCGCUGUACCCCCCCGGGAGACCAGACCCAUUCCCCGUGGACCACC